GUAGUCGUGGUCGAGUGGUUAAGGUGAUAGACUAGAAAUCCAUUGGGGUUUCCCUGUGUAGGUUAAAAUCCUGCCGACUACG